rnacentral:rRNA from 1 species
UACAGAGGGGGCAAGCGUUAUUCGGAAUUAUUGGGCGUAAAGAGCUCGUAGGCGGUCUGUCGCGUCUGCUGUGAAAACUCAGGGCUUAACCCUGAGCUUGCAGUGGGUACGGGCAGACUAGAGUGCGGUAGGGGAGACUGGAAUUCCUGGUGUAGCGGUGAAAUGCGCAGAUAUCAGGAGGAACACCGGUGGCGAAGGCGGUUCUCUGGGCAUUACCUGACGCUGAGGAGCGAAAGUGUGGGGAGCGAACAGG